rnacentral:tRNA from 1 species
GGUAAGAUGGCUGAGCGUGAAGCGGUGGAUUGUAGCCCCAUGUACAGAGGUUCAAGUCCUCUUCUUAUCA